rnacentral:rRNA from 1 species
UGACCGUUCAGGGGUAAACCUGAGAAACCCGAAAGGUCGAAAGGGGAAAUUCAUUCGCGUUUCGGCUGUCGGAGUUGGAUGUUCGUGUGACGGAUGACGUUCACGUCGUUUGCACCUUACGUCUUUCGAAUCGACGUCGAACGCGUGCACUUUUCCUCUAGUAGGACGUCGCGAUCCGUUGGGUGUCUGUCUAAGACUCGGGGUGGAGUCCACGUGGCUUUUGGUCGCGUGAACCCUCGAAUUUUCGACAAACUCGCUCGACGGUAUGCUAAUGGCGCGGGGCCGCUACUCAGUUAGCGUUCGGCCCGUGGCAAGCACGUUCUGUGUUUGACGGCGAUCGGACCUGGUGCCGAUUCUGUCCCGGAACGACUGUUGGCUACGGUGUUCUCGAACAGACCUCGNUGAAACGCCGAUCA